GUACUGCACCUCUGUGGUCUUCCUCCCCAGAAUUCAUAACCUUAGUCUAGCCAUGGGAGAAGCAGCAGACAAAUGAAAACCAAGGGACAAUCUACAAAACACCAGACCAAGAGGCACAACAACGAUUCUAUGCCAGGGGAAAGCCGCUGGGCCUGCUCCGCCCGCCAGUUAACCCAUUUUAUCUGAGAGGCUGGAAAGGAAGAAGGUACAAGGCCAGGGGCUCAGCUAUGAAAACAUGUUCUGAAUGGGAUAAAAACAGCAGUGGGAAGCCUCUGUCUUAUAUAAAUAAAUAGUAGAUGUUAAAGUAAAAUAAAAUAAAAU
rnacentral:lncRNA from 1 species